GAUGAACGCUGGCGGCGUGCCUAACACAUGCAAGUCGAGCGAGAAGCUCGUAAGCUGAUCUUCGGAAAGGCGAGCGAGCGGAAAGCGGCGGACGGGUGAGUAACGCGUAGGCAACCUGCCCCAUACAGAGGGAUACCUUCGGGAAACCGGAAUUAAAACCUCAUAAUGCCAUUUGAUCACAUGGUCGGAUGGCCAAAGAUUCAUCGGUAUGGGAUGGGCCUGCGUCUGAUUAGCUAGUUGGUGAGGUAACGGCUCACCAAGGCGACGAUCAGUAGCAGAACUGAGAGGUUCAUCUGCCACAUUGGAACGGAGACACGGUCCAAACUCCUACGGGAGGCAGCAGUGAGGAAUAUUGCACAAUGGGCGAAAGCCUGAUGCAGCAACGCCGCGUGAGUGAUGAAGGCCUUUGGGUCGUAAAACUCUGUCCUUGGGGAAGAAAAAAAUGACGGUACCCUUGGAGGAAGCCCCGGCUAACUACGUGCCAGCCGCCGCGGUAAAAC
rnacentral:rRNA from 1 species